rnacentral:misc_RNA from 1 species
AACGAGGCCGACCUGCGGCUGAGUUACCUGCGGAAGGAUCAUUAUCGAGUUUGAAAGUAAGAGGAAGAGUGCGGUUUGAUGCUGGCGUGAAAGCGCACUGUGCACGGCCGCUUCUCUUUUUCUUACGCUCAAUCCACUUAACCCCAUGUGCACCCACGAGGAGCUAGUAGUCGGCGUUGUUAGUCUGUUCGCGUGAAGUAGCCUUGAUUCAUUAAGGCGAAAGCUUACGGGCGUUUAGUC